UACGUAGGUGACCAGCGUUGUCCGGAUUUACUGGGCGUAAAGAGCGCGCAGGCGGUCGUUCAAGUCGAGUGUGAAAGCCCCCGGCUCAACUGGGGAGGGUCAUUCGAUACUGAUCGACUGGAAGGCAGGAGAGGGAAGCGGAAUUCCCGGUGUAGUGGUGAAAUGCGUAGAUAUCGGGAGGGAACACCAGUGGCGAAGGCGGCUUCCUGGCCUGUUCUUUGACGCUGAGGCGCGAAAGCGUGGGGAGCAAACAGG
rnacentral:rRNA from 1 species